ACUAUUUUGGCAGAUAAGUGUAAUAAAUUUAGAAUUUAUAAAUAUAAAAUUAAUUUUUAUAAAUAGUA
rnacentral:tRNA from 1 species